CCCGUGGGAAAUCUAGAGCUAAUACGUGCAGUUUAUUGGCUCGUCUUCGGGCGAGUCAAAGCAUUUAUUAGACUAAACCAUCUACUAUGCUCGCAUAGUAAGGGGAAUCUGGAUAACUUUGCUGAUCGUAUGGCCUUGUGCCGGCGACGUUUCAAUUGAGUUUCUGCCCUAUCAACUUGUUGGUAAGGUAUUGGCUUACCAAGGUUGCAACGGGUAACGGGGAAUCAGGGUUCGAUUCCGGAGAGGGAGCCUGAGAAACGGCUACCACAUCCAAGGAAGGCAACAGGCGCGCAAAUUACCCAAUCUAGACAGUAGGAGGUGGUGAAGAGAAUUACUAGGUGGUGACUCAAUGAGUUACCAGUUUGGAAUGAACGUAACUUAAGAAAUUCGAUGAGAAACAACUGGAGGGCAAGUCCUGGUGCCAGCAGCCGCGGUAAUUCCAGCUCCAGUAGUUUGCUUUAAAGUUGUUGCGUUUAAAACGCUCGUAGUUGGAUCACGCAGCAGUACCCAGUAAUCUACUAGUUGACGUUCCAUUGAAACCCACCUCGGUGGCCUUUCAGGAGCGUCGGUAGCAGAUACUAACGCUGGGCACUGUUAGUUGCACGUGAGAUGAAUUGUUGGCCUUUAUUGAGCCGGUAUUCUCGUCUUGCGGAGUGUGCCUUGAAUAAAACAGAGUGCUUAAAGCAGGUCGUUGCCUGAAUGUUAUAGCAUGGAACGAACAAUCGUGUAUAUGUGUGCAUCCUUGAUCGGUGACGAGCCUUAGGCUUGUUGUUGAUCGGGAUACAUACGGCACCCACCUAA
rnacentral:rRNA from 1 species